ACAUCCAGCGAGGUGAGUGUCAUUUCUAUCCAGCCAAACUGUUCCAGUUACAUGUACAAUCAUGCCAUAACCAAUGUGCUGCUUGUCCUUAGAAUCUUCCUCACCGAAUAGAAUGCGAAGGCGAGCAGCGAAGAGGCCGGUAGGGUCUAGAGCGGCUUCAUGGAGUAGGCCUCGCUUGAUGUUGUUCAAUCGAUAGAUUAGGGGUUGCUGCUCUUGCUUAACUUCCUGAAGGUCGUGGAUACGGUACUUUUGGCUUAAAGAUCUGAUGCUCAAAAGCAAUAUUCCUGUCAUUGCGAGGAACUGGAUGGAAACUGUCUUUGUGCUUCAUUGCGUUUGCUACAAACCCUAAAGGUUUUCCAGAGUUUUGAGCGGCAGUGGUACUGCCUGAGCCCGGUGGCGAUGAGGAUGCCAUACCGCCAAAAUACGUCUGCUGUAUGCGAAACAGAGAGGUAGACCAAAG
rnacentral:misc_RNA from 1 species